rnacentral:rRNA from 1 species
GACGUAGGGGGCGAGCGUUAUCCGGAAUUAUUGGGCGUAAAGAGCGUGUAGGCGGCUAGAUAGGUCCGUUGUGAAAACUCGAGGCUCAACCUCGAGACGUCGAUGGAAACCAUCUGGCUAGAGUUCGGUAGGGGAGACUGGAAUUCCUGGUGUAGCGGUGAAAUGCGCAGAUAUCAGGAGGAACACCGGUGGCGAAGGCGGGUCUCUGGGCCGAUACUGACGCUGAGGAGCGAAAGCGUGGGGAGCGAACAGG